AAAAUAUCAAAAUUUUCAAAUAAUAAAACGGGAACAAAAAUCUAAGGAACUUUCUCUCGAAGAACAAUUAAGGGAACUAAAGUCUCACGAACUUCCUGACAGAGAACGAA